GCUGCCACUUGGGGUUGCACUGGGUGAGCUCUAAGGUCAGAUGCUAUGAGCAGAUCCGGAGGAGUGUAAUUUUCGAGCCGAUGAAUGAGAAAAUGCAGAUGGCAAUUAAUGCACAUAAACCACAUUCAAGAGGACAUUGGAGCCCCUGUGAGGCUGUGUGCACUUUUUUGGUCUUGCAUAAAAGAGAUGAUUGGCGUGAGCCUGGCUGGUCUGUUAGCUAAACACAGAUGUGUGUUUGCAGCUGUGGUUACACUUGUCGGGCUGUCAGGAGGAAAUUGUGUAUUUUGCAUUAAUGAGCAACUGAUUAAAUAGAGGAAGCUGACUGUCCACCAGUGGUGGCUCUGACUCCACUUUGACAGCAUAGACAGGAGAUAAGGAAGUACUUUAAAACAAGGGAGGACCUGGAGUCGACCUAUUGCAAAUUAUUUUACAACUAUGGCAUCUCUGUGGAAUUAAAAAAACCUGCUUUCAUAUUCUUCUUUCAUUUAUUUAUUAAUCUAUUUCCAGAAUGUAAUAGAGGCAGCUUAUAAUGAAAAACACCUAUGUAAACUGGCAGGAAGACCAGAAACCAGAGGGGAAGUGGGGAAAAAAUUCUGCCCAGAACCUAAGGGAAAAGGUACCCGCCACUAAGUAUAGGUCUGAGGCUCUCUUGUCUCGCUUUCUCCACCUUCCUCUAUAUGAGACGCUGAGGAAGUUCCAUUCCCUGAGGCUCCUGUCAAAGAAGUCAUGGAAAAUUUCCCCAGGAGUUCAAAGCUGGAGCCUGGAGCAGCUGUCAGCAGUUUUCAGAACCCGGAGAGCACUCAGGACCAUCCGUUUUGGUCCUGUGGCCCUUGCUCUGUGGUCCUCUCCUCGCCCUGGAAGGUCACUGCUCACUCCCCGGGUUUGUUCUGGACUCCAGGCCCUGUGACAGCCCCUGUCUGGGCCUCAGUUCCCAAGGCGGGUGACCAGCGGAGAAGAAGCCUUGGUGGGGCCACAAACUCCAGACGACACGUGCGUCCGUGUAGAGAGGGCUGUGGAACCUCCUUGGCAAAAUGAAGACUGCUGAAGGAGAAACCCGUGAUGCCCGUGACUCACUUUCUACAGGGCCGCAUCUCUGAGACGCUGCUUCUAGCAGGGAAGGACCUGCACUGUCCACACCUGGAGGCUGCUGUUCUAUGUAACGUGAGUGAGUGAUUAUGGGACUCAAACAUGAACUCAGCGUUGACCCCAUGCUGUUUCUGGUACUAAGAGAAACACUGAUGACAAUACACUCUGACCCUAAAUGAAAUAAUUACUUUAAAACGAUGACAUCAUGAAAGAGAUCCAUGAAAGUUUAAUCCUGGAAAGGACAUUAAAAAUCACUUAGUCUAACCUCGUAUUUUUAUGUUGGCAGUGAGGGCUCCUAGCAAAUAUAUAUAUAUAUAUAUAUUUUAAACAAGUGAGGAUAUUGAUGAUUCCUUCGAAAGAGUAAUGUGACAUGCCCAACGUCAUAUGACUACAAGAUUAUCAACCCUGGCUGCACACUGAAAUGACUGGGAGAGUCUUUUAAAACCACUGAUGGUUGGGCACCACUUAACACAAAUUAAUCAGAAUUUCUAGGCCUGGGGCGUGGGCACUGACACUUUUUGAAGCUCCCCAGACAAUUCAAUCUGAAGCCAGAGUUGAGAACCACUGAGCUGGACAAGAACCCAGGUCCCAACUCCUUCCCAGGGUUAUCAAAUUCAGAGUAGCCUCCCUUUCCUCAUCCGUGAGCCCAUGGAAGACCUGACUAAUGGAUUCUGGGACUCUUUCCUGCUGCUUCUAGCCUGGCCUCCUCCUCACGUUGUUCCUGGAAGCUGCCACCUGUCCUUCAACAUUGCAAGACAACCCGAAACCCUGCUACAGACAGGCACUGUAUCUUGCUUCCUCUAAACAAAGUCACAGAAAAUAUCCGAAAAUAUUAUUCUUGUAAAGUUGGGGCUGUAUACUCUCACGGCCCAGCGCAUUUAUCAGGCAGGCUAGCAGAGCUCUGCUGGGGAACACCCAACCAGGGUUGCUCAACCGCUGU